rnacentral:rRNA from 1 species
UUAGGAAUCUUGCGCAAUGGGCGAAAGCCUGACGCAGCAACGCCGCGUGGGGGAUGAAUGCUCUCGGGUUGUAAACCCCUUUCAGCGGGGACAAUUAUGACGGUACCCGCAGAAGAAGGCCCGGCCAACUACGUGCCAGCAGCCGCGGUAAUACGUAGGGUCCAAGCGUUGUCCGGAUUUAUUGGGCGUAAAGAGCUCGUAGGCGGUUUCGUAAGUCGGAUGUGAAAACUCAGGGCUCAACCCGGAGACGCCAUCUGAUACUGCGAUGACUGGAGUCUGGUAGGGGAUCACGGAAUACCUGGUGUAGCGGUGAAAUGCGCAGAUAUCAGGUGGAACACCGAUGGCGAAGGCAGUGAUCUGGGCCACUACUGACGCUGAGAAGCGAAAGCAUGGGGAGCGAA